rnacentral:lncRNA from 1 species
GGGGGAGUCCUAGGACUGGGAGAAAGCUCAGAGAGGGGGACCACAGGCGUGCUGGGUAGAGAAAAGCAGAAGAGGAAGAAGACGUGUCCUCGGCCCCCUUGAGUGAAUAGCCAUGGAGCUCCUAAAAAGAAUGGGACCUUUCACUUGACCUCCCUUCUCUCCCUUGCCUACUGCCCCUGAGCGAGUGCUUCAGCUACAGUCUGGGAGCCGAAGAUGCCUGUGUUUGAUGCCUCCAGCACCCUGUCUCUGCAUCUUGAAUCCAGCCACGUGACCAUCUCUUGCCCACCUUUGGCCAAUGUCCCUGAGACAUUUCAGGUGCAUCAUGCUGCAGACUGGGGUUGCUGUCUCCACAAUACCGCGCUUCCCCUGUGUCCCCAUCUCAGUCUUUGGUCCCACUAUCCACUUCCCACAUGCAGCCAUUGAGUCCUCUAUUUUUCUUCCUUAAAUCUCCAGAAUCUGC